GACUGAACAGACUGAACUGAUUGAAAUACAGAAAGGUUUACCUCCCAAAGGACUUGGAACUCAUACAGCAAAGGUGCUAUUGGACAAAAACACCAAGGAAAUGGUUAAAGUGUGCUUUUCUGAAAUAAAAGCCUUGUUGUCUAUUACCACAGAUCACUCUUCACCGCUUAAAGAGAUCCCAUUUGAGAUCACUCUACCAUCAAUAAAAAAUUUAAGCAAAUUGUUCGAUCCAGCAAAUGGAUGUGUAAUAAUGGC
rnacentral:lncRNA from 1 species